AUGGAUCUAUCAGGCAAUAGUCUUCAUGGACCCAUCCCAACAUACCUAGAGUUGCCUCGUCUUGUCCAUCUGGAGCUCAGAUACAACACUCUCUCAGGCCUAAUCCCAUCAAGCAUUGGUGCUCUCGCCAAGCUCGAAUACUUGGAUCUAUCGGGCAAUCUUCUUAAAGGACCUAUCCCAUCAUUCAUAGCUAAUUGUACUAAACUAACCUCUCUCAAAUUCUGUCAUAAUCUUUUGAGCAAAGGAUCCAUUGUAGGCAAUCGGACGAGUUUACGAUACUUAGAUCUUUCCAACAAUCUAAUAAAUGGUCCCUUCCCUUCAACCAUUCUGAAAUUAGCCUCUCUAACAACGCUGGCACUUCGAUCCAAUCAGCUUAACGGCCUAUUACCAUCAUAA
rnacentral:rRNA from 1 species